GUCAAGAUGGCGGCGCCCAGGCGGGCCGCGCCGAGGUGAGCUGGAGCCGGGCCCGGAGCGGGGCGAGUCUGCCACGCCCAGGACUUGGACCCCGGGCUGGUCUCCCGUCUCCCGGGGAGCGGCGGGUUGAUGGGCGCUACGGGAUAAGGAAAAGGAUGUGAAGCUCACUGAAGAGGCUUGGGUUGGGAGUGCUGGAGGAGUGUACAGGUGGGGAAAAUGUACCAGCGUGUAUGCCUACUGGGACCACGUUUUCCAGAACAGUUAAGCCCAGUGUCAACUAUGCUGUCCCACCUUCCUCGUAAGUAGGAACAUAAUGUUACUUGAAUCUUUGCUUCCU